GUCCACGCCCUAAACGAUGCACAUUAGACCGAUGCGGCUCUGACGCCGUAUUGGUCGUAGAGAAAUUGCUAAAUGUGCCGCCUGGGGAGUACGGUCGCAAGGCUAAAACUCAAAGGAAUUGACGGGGGCUCACACAAGCGGUGGAGCAUGUUGCUUAAUUCGAAGCAACGCGAAGAACCUUACCCGGGUUUGACAUGCUUGGAUUAGUUCCUGGAAACAGGAAUGACGCCCGCAAGGGUGGAACAAGCACAGGUGCUGCAUGGCUGUCGU
rnacentral:rRNA from 1 species